rnacentral:sRNA from 1 species
CGCCUUUUUGCUAUGCGCCGAACUUAACGAUUCGAACCUGCAGCAGGUUCGGGUCGAACGCAGUGAGACAACGGAGCCGCUUGCGGCGACGGCCCGAAGGGCGAGGCGAAGUCGAGUCAUCCUGCACGACCCACCA